UGCAUACAAACAGUGGGAGCCUCGCAAGGGGUGACUGCGUACCUUUUGUAUAAUGGGUCAGCGACUUACGUUCAGUAGCAAGCUUAACCGAAUAGGGGAGGCGUAGCGAAAGCGAGUCUGAAAAGGGCGAUAUAGUUGCUGGACGUAGACCCGAAACCAGAUGAUCUACCCAUGGCCAGGAUGAAGGUGGGGUAACACCCACUGGAGGUCCGAACCCACUAGUGUUGAAAAACUAGGGGAUGAGCUGUGGGUAGGGGUGAAAGGCUAAACAAAUCUGGAGAUAGCUGGUUCUCCCCGAAAACUAUUUAGGUAGUGCCUCAUAUGGACACUUCCGGGGGUAGAGCACUGUAAUGGUUGAGGGGGUCGUUUAGAUCUACCUCGCCAUAGCAAACUCCGAAUACCGGAAAGUGAUGUAUGGGAGACAGACGGUGGGUGCUAACGUCCAUCGUCAAGAGGGAAACAACCCAGACCGCCAGCUAAGGUCCCCAAUGAUUGGCUAAGUGG
rnacentral:rRNA from 1 species